UACAGCCCUGGCCCUCCUCCCUUGAAAAUGCAGAAGAGCUGAGGGCAGAUGAACUCAUCUGUAACUGCAGAGACUCACCAGGAAUAUCCAAGAGCAACUGCAGUGAAGAUGAAGGUAGGCAGUGACUGAAUUACUGUGUGCAGAUCGUGACACAACUGCCUGUUGUGGUGGAGAUGUGGCAAGCAAGCAGAAUUCUGCUGAACAUGAGAAGUCUCUGCUGACAGGCUUACACAUAGUCCCAGCAAUGGUUGAGUGCAC
rnacentral:lncRNA from 12 species